GUCCCACCCCUUCCCAUCCCGAACAGGACCGUGAAACGACUCCACGCCGAUGAUAGUGCGGAUUGCCCGUGUGAAAGUAGGUAAUCGUCAGGCU
rnacentral:rRNA from 1 species